rnacentral:rRNA from 1 species
UACGAAGGAUCCAAGCGUUAUCCGGAAUCAUUGGGUUUAAAGGGUCCGUAGGCGGUCUUGUAAGUCAGUGGUGAAAGCCCAUCGCUCAACGGUGGAACGGCCAUUGAUACUGCAAGACUUGAAUUAUUGGGAAGUAACUAGAAUAUGUAGUGUAGCGGUGAAAUGCUUAGAUAUUACAUGGAAUACCAAUUGCGAAGGCAGGUUACUACCAAUACAUUGACGCUGAUGGACGAAAGCGUGGGGAGCGAACAGG